CCUUUUAUUGACCCACGGUAUUGGUUGUAAGGGGGAAGAGCAAAAGGAGAUUAAGGGCAUGGAGAUGAUAGAAAGGGGAAGGGUGUAGAAGAUUAGGGAUUGUGAGUCUGCCCUCCGGCACUUCUUACCUACUUCAUGACACACCCUAAUCCCCAGCCAUUGUUCUAAUCUUACCGACAAGGCGUUCCACUGAUCAGCUUCUGGGGUCCCUUGUCAAUACAUCGGUCCUUGGCCAGGGCGUUCCCGGCCAUACAUAUCUCGUGAUGGGCAGCAGGUUUAAUUGCUGCACUUACCAGAGAAAAUUCCUGGAGCUCUAGAACAAUUGGUGAGGAGAGGAUGCCUCGGCAGUGCCUGCAGCAUUGUUCAGGGUGGCCCCCAGGAAAGGGGGAGGUUCCAGGUUUCCUGGCCCACCCAAGGGAGGGUGGAGCUGAGCAGAGAGAGAAGAAGCUGCAGAGGAGACUGAGGAAGGAAGCAGAAUGGAGCCAGAAGGAGACCUGGAGGAGGCACAUGGAGCCUAGAGACACGUGAAGAAACUGUGCUUGUCUUUUGGUCGUGGACUGGGUGACACAGAUGUGGGUGAGACCCGUAGGGAGGUGACAAUGGCAGUUUUUAUCUUGAUUUUGAUUUUGCUCUUUUCCUUGGGCUUGUCUGGUUGUUUCUGACCCUUUUCUGUGGGUCCCCACGGGAAGAUGCUUUAGACUUGUGGCAGGCUGUGGGGCCUUGCUCUGGGCCAAUCCCAUUUGGAUGUGUUAGGGGGAAAUGAUGUCCUGAGUUAAUCCCAUACAGGCUUUGUGGACCCCACCCCCACUCCAGACUAAAGCCAUCAAGACAUUGGGAAAGACAAAUCCCAUCACCACCAAAGGGAGGGUGGCUGGGACCUGAGGGUGGAGUUGGGCAGCCAGGUUGGAUAUAAAAACCAAACACGUGGGCCUUGGGGUCGCUGGCUCGCGAUCGCUCGCCUCCUGGCUUCACCGCUCCUGGCUGGCGGCCAACUCUGAGAGCGCCAUUUUGGGAUUCCUGAUCGGCGGAUUGGGUAGGACUCAUUUAAAACUUUGUCUCCCACUUUUCUCCCAGAGCUGUACAUUUCCUCAUUUCCCCUUCCCUUGUAAAUAAACCUUUUAUUAACCUUUCGCGUGUGCCUGCAGUAGAGCAUUGAUAAGUCCUUUUAAGCGUGCGGGUGAGGACCCACAGUCAGGCACCCUGUUUUGUAUUGGGGUUGCUCUACAACAGUUGGAGUUUUACCCACAAGGGGGCGGGUAACUUUGGGUGCUUGAUUUAGAAACCAGAUUCUUUGCCUUUUCUGUAUUGUUUCCUAAUUGUAUUAAAGUUCCUUCCCAUUAAAGUCUCAUGUUUUGUGUUAAUGCGGCGGAUGGCAGAACCCUAUAUAGAAUAGGCAGGUUUGCAGGGUUUGGGCUGCCCCUCUCUCUGUCCUGUAACACUUGUACGGUUUACAAGUUUACCCAGAAAUAAAACUGAGACACAGGGCAAGUUAGGGUAAUUAGGCAGUUUUAGGGACACUGCACGAGGGGACCUCGGAGAGUUGAGGAAGGCUUCAGAGAUGAGGGCAGCAAGAGGAAUGUCACUAAUUCCACUAGGAAAAACAAACAUCCCAGGACCAAGGACAACAUUGUUAAUGCUGACCUAGGUUUCCUUCAGGUGAUAAAGGGAGGUAGAGAUUGGGGAAAUGGAGAGUGGUUUAAUUUAUGGACAAAUUAGAAGGGCAGCUGUUUAACUUCAAUGCAGGGAUGCCCACCCAGAAGACUGGGCCAUAAAGAUAAAGAUGCAACAAAUGGGGAAAGACAAACCUGUUAGAUAAAGAAUGUGAAGAUCCCCCGCUAAGAAGCAAAUUAAGUGAGACAGCCAAGAACUAACCAAUCACAAAGAGACUGGUGGAGCUUUAUAAUAAUGAGGGAAAGAAGGUAUAUAUUCCCAGAGACACGACUCCAGUUUGGCUUCCUUGCCCCUCCCAGGCCUGGUUUCAUGGCCUGGGAGUCCCACUUUAUUUCAGUUCCUUUUCUCCUCAAUAAACUUUUUCUUUCU